GAUCCUGGCUCAGGAUGAACGCUGGCGGCAUGCCUAAUACAUGCAAGUCGAACGGGAGGAAGGAAAGCUUGCUUUUCUGAAUCUAGUGGCGAACGGGUGAGUAACACGUAGGUAACCUGCCCAUGUGCCCGGGAUAACUUCUGGAAACGGAUGCUAAAACCGGAUAGGUAGCAGACAAGCAUUUGACUGCUAUUAAAGUGGCCUUGGCCAUGAACAUGGAUGGACCUGCGGUGCAUUAG
rnacentral:rRNA from 1 species